rnacentral:rRNA from 1 species
AUGAUCAAUGAUCUGUUUGACCAAUUGCAAGGAGCUAAGGUAUUUUCCAAGAUCGAUCUGCGAUCAGGAUACCACCAGUUGAAGAUUCGAGAGCAGGAUAUACUUAAGACGGCUUUUACCACCAGGUACGGGCUGUAUGAGUAUACCGUUAUGUCAUUUGGUCUGACUAACGCACCUGCAUAUUUCAUGAACAUGAUGAACAAGGUGUUUAUGGAAUUUAUUAAUAAGUUCGUCGUGGUGUUCAUUGAUGAUAUUCUGGUCUACUCAAAGAAUGAAGAGGAGCAUAAGGAGCAUUUGCGUUUGGUACUUGGGAAGCUCAGAGAACAUCAGUUAUAUGCCAAGUUCAGCAAGUGUGAAUUCUGGUUGAAGGAAGUUGGAUUCCUCGGACAUGUUAUAUCCGGAGAAGGAAUAGCAGUAGACCCCACCAAAGUUGUCACUGUGACAAAUUUGGGAAGCACCAACAACAGUUGGAGAGAUCCGGAGUUUUCUUGGACUUGCAGGAUACUACCGGAGGUUCAUUGA